CUUUGUCGGCUGAGGGGCGGGGCGUGAGUGUCUCGAGGGUCGGGGAGAAGGAACUGUCAGCCGCGUUCGGACUCGCCCGUCUGGGGGAUAUCGGCUUUGGGUAGGGCACGCGCCUGUGGGGUAUCCCUAGGGUACCUGGGAGGUCCGGUUAGCACCGCAGGUUGGGGUGCGCCCCCCGAUUUCUGGACAGUUUACCUGCAGGUAGAUUGAAAGGCCCUGGAGCCGGUCUCCGUGUUGAGGAUCUGGAAGGUGCUCGGGCGGCUGGAAAAUGGCCCAGGCGUGGAUGUGUAUGCCAGUACCUUUGCAGUACCUACUCUUUCCGUACAGAAUCAUGUUUUAGAGUGACUAAAACCUAAAACUAUUCCGCUUUUUCUACCCACUCCUCACCCCUGAAGCAUAGUGCAUAGAGCAUAGUGCAGUCUUUUUGGAACUUUACAUGAAAACAGAUGUUAGAUUCUUUAUGAGAUAAAAAUACGCUAAGACUUGGUCUCUUUUCUCAGUGUAGUUGGAAACCAAACCACUCCCUGGCUUCAAAAUCCACUUCUUACAUUAUAAAACCUUUGUAAGUUUCUUAAUCUUUGCCUCAGUUGCCAUCAUCUGUAAAGGGGGAUAAUAUUUAGUUCAUCUCACGUGGUUAUUGGGAGGAUUAAAUGCCUCAAUAUGUUAAAACUACAGACAACAGUGCCCGGCACAUAAUGGCUCAAUGUAUGUAGCUGUAAUCAUUACUACUGUAUUGUCAGGUUUUCAAAUAACUUCAGGUAGAGUGACACUUAAUAAAAUCAAAAAACCCAGGCCGGGCGCGAAGAGUAGAGAUAGUGUUUUAUGAAAGUUUGUAGCCUCCACAAUAUUCUUUUUUUUUUUUUGAUACAGUCUCACUCUGUCACCCAGGCUGGAGUGCAGUGGCUCGAUCUAGGCUCAUUGCAACUUCCUUCUCCCUGGUUCCAAGCAAUUCUGGUGCCUCGGCCUCCUGAGUAGCAAGUAUUAUAAGCACGGGCCACCACGCCCGCUAAUUUUUGUAUUUUUAGUAGGGAGAGGGUUUCGCCAUGUUGGCCAGGCUGCCCUGGAACUCCUGACCUCAAGUGAUCUGCCCACGUGAACCUCCCAAAGUGAGGCGAUUACAGUGAGCAAUUUGUGAAAGAGCUUUCAUAAAUUGCCUUAGAAGCCAAAAAAAAAAAGAGUCCUUUGGUUUUGUUGACAUUGAUAUGAUGAAUCAAAGGAAGAAAUAGGCUUUAAGAGGCUGUCACACUGUGACACUUCGGACUGAUAUCCAUGUAACCAGUUUCUUCUUCAGUGUACUGUUCCUAUACCUUAUUCAUUAUAAUGAGGUCCAUUGUGUGUUUGAUUUGCUAAGCCCAACAAUUCAUUUUUUAAGUACUUGUCAACUGUAUAUUAUGUAUAACAUGCUGCAAUGACAAAAACUAAGAUAAUUUUAAUAUUGAUCCUGCCUUUGAGGAGCUUACAGUCUAGUGAGGAAAAGGAAUACUCAGUAACAGAUUUUUCUUACUGUGGUACUGUAGGAAGGAGCUCAUAAGAAGAGAUUACUUCCCAAACUAAGAAGGAUGGGGAAGAUUGCUGAGCAAAUGACAUUCAUGCUAGGCCUAGAUGAUAUUUUAAGUGGGGAAUAUGGACAGAAGACAUUUCAGGUGGGGAGGACAAUGUAAGCAAGAAAGAAGUGAUUUCUGUUGAACAGGCUGGUACAGUUAGCUAGUAAGAAUGGUAUAUAUUAAGGGAAGUAGUGGGAAAUGAGGUUGGAAAGGACACAUGCAGCCAGUUGUUGGUUGUUGUAUGGACCAAAAAGAAUGGUUUUUUAAUUCUUUAAGGGGACAGCAGUAAUCAGUUGUAAUUUGAUUGUGUUUCUUCAAUAAUGUUAACCUGAAAACUGUAAAACUCUAUGAUACAUGUUGGUGAGUGGAGAAAUGAGAGCUGGGUAGGCUGGUGUACUCAAAGUACAGUGAUGGCAUAGAAGAGGGAGUUAUAUAGUCAGUUUUCCCUUCAUAGUUGUUCUUGCAGCAAUGGCAAGAGUUUGCCUCGCCAUUGAUACUGGGGGAUGGAAUGCCAGGCAAACAAGCUUGAAAUCUGGGGGCCUUGAAAACUGGGGGGAUUGAGCCUUCUAUGUAAAGUCAGUGUAAUUGCAGCAUAGGGUAUAAGAGAUGGCAGGAAAAGACUCUGGAAGAAUAGAGACCAGGGGUUAGAAGACCAGUGCAGGCAUCCAAGCAAGAAAUCACUUUUGCCCAAACUAAGGUAAUAUUGAACAUAGAGAAAAGAGACAGGGUUUUAGAGUGAUUUUACAGUCAGUGUCAAUGGGGAGAUAGAGUUCAGUUCGGGGAUUAUUAACUCUAAGGUACCUGUAAAACAACCAGGUGGAUAUAGCUAGUAGUAGGUAGAAAUUCAGGACUGAAGUUUGGAGAGCUUGGUCAAGAUUUAGAGAUUUUUUUUUUGUCAUCUAUAUAUGAGCUAAUAAUUAAAACCAUUUAUCUAACAAAUGACAGGAUUUUAAUGAACUCAGCAAAGAUUUGAAUAUUAUCUACAAGGUACCACAAGGGGUUGGCUGCCUUAUACAAAGAGGAAUAAUUUUGUAUUUUACCUCAAGGUGCUCAUCAAGAAAGCCAAAAUCAUAAAAAGACAGACUUGUGGAAUUUUGGCGGCUUCCUCUUGAAACUAGAACAAAAACUCUGUUCUGGGUACUUGAGGAGGUUGUUCUGAGGGGCAUGUGGGUAUACAUGUAAGUUCCUGGUGUUCCCGUAUUAAAUAUUACUGACUCUCAGUCCAGUUCUGUUUGCAUCCCAUUCUACGGCAUCCCACAGUUAUGUGGUGCUACGAAUUAUAGCACUGGGGUUGUUAGGGUAGAGAAAACUGAAACAAUGAGUCAUCCGUGCCUUUCACUUUCCUAAAUUGCCCACAAGCUAAUGACCCAAACUCAGUAUUUUUCCCUUACAGAUCAUUCUGAGUAUUGCUGCUGUAACAAUUUUCCUAAGUUGUUACUGUUAUAACAUUAUUACUCUAACUCUUAUUCCUAGUCUUGCUCAGAACUUUGUAACAGUUUUUUGUUGCCGCCUUAACUAUAGCUCCUCUAUGUGGCUUUCAGUCCCUUCUCUGAUAUAGCUCAACUCUUCCUACCAAACUGUUUCCUGAUACUACCCAUUAUAGACACUUUGCUUGUCAGAUAAGUACAUUAUCUAUGUCUUGUACAUAAUCAUACUAUUUCCUUGCUUUUGCUUAUGUUGCUAUUUUUUCUUCCCACCCCUUAAAUCAUACAUCCUUCAGAGUCUAGUUUAAAUCUUGGUUCCGACUUGAAACAUCUCUACUUUCUUACCUCUUCACUUUCUCAACAAAGAUGAAUCCUAUGUGACAGAUGUUGUGGUGGGUGCGUUACACACCUUCCAGUCUACAAGGUUAAGGUAUUAUCCCUAUUUAGUGAGUGCUUACUGUGUAUGCUAAGCUUGUAUUUGCAUGCAAUGUUUCGCUCAAACUCUAUGAGAACGUGUUAUUUGCAUUUUACAGUGGCUAACUGUAAGUGGAGAUGUGAAGUUUAAAGAGGUUAAGUAAAUUCUCCCCCAUUCAGCUAAUGCAUAAUAAAGCUGGCAUUCGAA